UUAAUAUUUAUUUAAUAUAGUUACUUAUUUUUAGUAUUAAAAGGGAAUGUCAGUGAGAAUCUGAAGCAGCCCCCGCUACUGUAAGAAGGACGAAAGCUUAUUUAGAUAUUUUAUAUCUAUCCACUAACUUAUUAAGUUGGGAAGGAUAAGCAAUUAGGAUGAUAUCAAGUCAGGAGACCUGCUAUAUUAAUUUAUUUAAUU
rnacentral:ncRNA from 15 species